rnacentral:misc_RNA from 1 species
GAAAUGCGAUAAGUAAUGUGAAUUGCAGAAUUCAGUGAAUCAUCGAAUCUUUGAACGCACCUUGCGCUCCUUGGUAUUCCUUGGAGCAUGCCUGUUUGAGUAUCAUGAAAUCUUCAAAGUAAAUCUUUUGUUAACUCACUUGGUUUCUACUUUGGUAUUGGAGGUCUUUGCAGCUUCACACCUGCUCCUCUUUGUUCAUUAGCUGGAUCUCAGUGUUAUGCUUGGUUCCACUCGGCGUGAUAAGUUAUCUAUCGCUGAGGACACUGUAAAAGGUGGCCAAGGUAAAUGCAGAUGAACCGCUUCUAAUAGUCCAUUGACUUGGACAAUACUUUUAUGAUCUGAUCUCAAAUCAGGUAGGACUACCCGCUGAACUUAAGC